rnacentral:rRNA from 1 species
UACGGAGACUGCAAGCGUUACUCGGAUUUACUGGGCGUAAAGGGUCCGUAGGCGGCCAUGUGUGUCGGGUGUGAAAUCCUGCAGCUUAACUGCAGAACUGCGCCCGAAACUACAUGGCUAGAGUAUUGGAGAGGUGAGUGGAAUUCCAGGUGUAGCGGUGAAAUGCGUAGAUAUCUGGAGGAACACCAACGGCGAAGGCAGCUCACUGGACAAUUACUGACGCUGAGGGACGAAAGCGUGGGGAGCAAAAGGGAUUAGAUACCCCUGUAGUCCACGCCGUAAACGUUGUGCACUCGCUAUUGGCGGCUUCGACCCCGUCAGUGGCUAAGCUAACGCGAUAAGUGCACCGCCUGAGGACUACGGCCGCAAGGCUAAAACUCAAAGGAAUUGACGGGUCCCCGCACAAGCGGUGGAGCAUGUGGCUUAAUUCGAUGCAACGCGAAGAACCUUACCAGGCCUUGACAUGUAGUGGACCGGUGCAGAGAUGCACCUUCUCUUCGGAGCCGCUUCACAGGUGCUGCAUGGCUGUCGUCAGCUCGUGUCGUGAGAUGUUCGGUUAAGUCCGUCAACGAGCGCAACCCCUGUCCUUAGUUGCCAGCAUUCAGUUGGGGACUCUAAGGAGACAAUCCCGCAUCCGCGGGAGGGAAGGUGGGGAUGAUGUCAAGUCAGUAUGGCCCUUACGGCCUGGGCUGCACACGUGCUACAAUGCCCGGUACAGUGGGAUGCUACUCCGCGAGGAGAUGCCAACCCCCAAAGCCGGGCCCAGUUCGGAUUGGAGUCUGCAACUCGACUCCAUGAAGUCGGAAUCGCUAGUAAUGGCGUAUCAGCAACGACGCCGUGAAUACGUUCCCGGGGAU